rnacentral:tRNA from 1 species
GCCCUCGUAGCUCAGUUGGCUAGAGCGUUGGCUGUACUACAGCCUUCUCCUUCUAGCGUGGGUUCGAAUUCCACUGAGGCUG